UAGGGAAUCUUCGGCAAAUGGACGGAAGUCUGACCGAGCAACGCCGCGUGAGUGAAGAAGGUUUUCGGAUCGUAAAGCUCUGUUGUAAGAGAAGAACGAGUGUGAGAGUGGAAAGUUCACGCUGUGACGGUAUCUUACCAGAAAGGGACGGCUAACUACGUGCCAGCAGCCGCGGUAAUACGUAGGUCCCGAGCGUUGUCCGGAUUUAUUGGGCGUAAAGCGAGCGCAGGCGGUUAGAUAAGUCUGAAGUUAAAGGCUGUGGCUUAACCAUAGUACGCUUUGGAAACUGUUUAACUUGAGUGCAAGAGGGGAGAGUGGAAUUCCAUGUGUAGCGGUGAAAUGCGUAGAUAUAUGGAGGAACACCGGUGGCGAAAGCGGCUCUCUGGCUUGUAACUGACGCUGAGGCUCGAAAGCGUGGGGAGCAAACAGGAUUAGAUACCCUGGUAGUCCACGCCGUAAACGAUGAGUGCUAGGUGUUAGACCCUUUCCGGGGUUUAGUGCCGAAGCUAACGCAUUAAGCACUCCGCCUGGGGAGUACGACCGCAAGGUUG
rnacentral:rRNA from 1 species